ensembl:lncRNA
GAGGAGGGGCAGAAGAGGGCCUGCCUCUGAAAGCCAGCUGCCUCCCUCAACUAAGACUAUGUGAGUCAGAGGAACCGGGAAAGGGAAUAUAAGCUGCCCAUAGCUCAGUGGGCUUGAAGUUGCUCUCAACUGUUACUCUAAAGACCCAUGUAGAUGUCUGUCCUGGGAAGUCCUCAGAGAUGUGGGCCAGACCUCCUGCCCUGGAGCCACGCAGACAGGUCUGCCUGAUGUAAACACUCAGAGGGCGGGACCUGCCGGCAGCCUUCUCUUUCUGUGCUUUGUGCUCGGAGUCACCCCCCUAGGGGGAGUAGCGGUGUGUCUUGCUGAGAGGUGCUGUGGGUGAAGAUGGUGAAGGUGAGUCAUCUCCUUGGACAUUUCCAAGACACAAGAUCCAGAGACCUGACUGCUCCAUCCCGAGAGCCAAGAGGUCCUCAGUAGGAGGGGCCACACACGAACACACAGUGUCAACCGAGUGCGCCAGCUGGGAGACAAGUCACGACCCUCUGGGCAGUCUCUGCCCUCCUCUGGACUCUGAAUCCCCACCCGCUGAAGGCAUAAAGAGAUAUUGGAAGCAUCCAUUUCUGCUCAGCAUCUAGCAGAGCCUGGCUCAGACCUCUGUAUUCUCUGCCCAGAAGACCAUCUCUCUUGUGGCCUGAGUCCUCUGGUCUGCUUCUCCACUUCUUUGCUCAAAGAGCUGGUCAUGGCGGAGGUGAAAAAACAAGAUGCAGUUUUCCUCUGCAGAAAGGAGUAUGUUCCAGCCAAGUUGGCUGAUGAGUGAUUUUCUGCAAGUAGAAUAAUUGGACAUGUGUUCCCAUGGCAACAGUGCCUUUCCUGGAAACCGUUUGGAAGGGAAGGCAGGAGGCGAGGGACCAGCUCUGGCUUGCUGGCUGCUUCAGAGCCCUAUGGGGUCGGGCCAGGCAGAGGCUGUGGUGCGGCCCCACCAUCCACCCAUCCCUCACACUGCUGCCCUGGUCCCGGGGCCACAGGAAUCGUUUCCAUGUCCUGCUCAGAGAUGUUCUGAGCUCACACCCACAGUUCCCAGAAUCUGUUGUUUCACCCUUCCCAUGAACACAAAACAUCAUUUAAAAAAAUACAACAUUUUUACAAUGCACGCAUUCGUGAUUUACAGAUGCUCUCAUGAGCACUGCCCUGGGGUGUUCUGAGAAAAGCCUUGGAAGGUUUAUGACGUUACAAUUCCCAUUUUACAGAUGUGGAAACUGAGGCCGGCCUCAAAUAAUUGACUGGUACACAGAGAUGUGUACCAGUACACUGGGGAGAUGCCAGGCAGGGGUGAUCCCUUCCUGGGAGCUCAGGGCACUCUCCGCCCGCCUCCGAUGUGAGGUGGCCUCGCCUUAACCUCCCUCCUCCAAGCGGGGAGUUCUGGUGACUCGUCCCUGGAAGAGAGUGGCUCCCAGGAGGGGGAUGUUUCUGGCUGCUGCUUCUAUGUGAGAUUUCGUCAGUGUCUGCCUCCCUCUCCACAGCCUGAAGGAUACUGGCCUCCAAUAAAAGUGGUAAUUGGAUGAGGAAGAA